CUUCCCCCUCAAUGCACCCAAGCGCCAUGAAAUUGUUCCAGGCAGCGAUGGUGUUAUAAGGCUGUCGCUUGAGCAUUCUGGUAGUUCGUGUGUGUUUGUGGCAUCUUCUAAUUGAAGUAGUUUCUCAGACUGUACAUCUAACAUGGGGAUAGAGAAUGUGGAAGAGUAUGUCGUUUCUAGAAAAUACUUUCAGCCUUGUGUCUUCGAUUUACAGAGAUGGAUGUCUUUGACAUGCAAAGUUUGACAUAGGCAUAUGGGCAGGACAUUGCCCCGUUUGUGGUAGCUGUUUCGUUCCUCAUAUUUAGCGUUAACUUUAGAGAAACAAACAAAAAAAACAUUUUCUUUUGCGUUUUCACUAUGAAGAAGUAAAACAAAAGGAACCCAACCGUGACGACUAAAGGCAGGACAGUCCCACCAGUAAAUUAUUACAACAACAAACUACUGAUGCGAGUUUGGGAAACUCUGCUCUAUGUGACUGGAGCCACGCAUCAGGUGCCAGGUGUGCAGGAGCUCUUCGCCUGAUCAGUAUCCUCAUCAACCAAGCAGAAGAAGCAGUGGAAAUGCUGAAGACCUUUUUAUAAUCAGGAGAACCCAUAUGCCCCCAAGCCCAAGACAAGGAAGGAGUGAGAUACUGUUGCUAUCCAGCAGGGGGCAAUAUUCGUUAAGUAAUGAGCAGAGAACGAACAUGAGUCAAAGGGAGUAGCUAACAAAGGGUUCUCCUGAAACAGACUUGGAACACAACCAUGGGUCCUAUGGAUUUGUUUGUCUGACAAAGAAAUCAUAUUUACUUUUUCAUCUUUUCACUUAUUCGCUCAGCCUUUUGCAUCAGCACUCAUUUUUAUUUUCAUAUUAUUGACAGUGUUUUAUACCCUUAGAGCAUAGUUUGAAUGGACAGUGGACACUAUCCAUGGCCUGUAAGGUGCCUUGCUGCUAUAACAGCCUCUACUCUUCUGGGAAGGCUAGAUGUUGGAACAUUUCUGUGGGGACUUCCAUUCAGACACAAGAGCAUUAGUGAGUUCGCCUACUGAUCUUGGGCGAUUAG